AGGACGAACGCUGGCGGCGUGCUUAAUACAUGCAAGUCGAACGGAGACUAUGAUUUCGGUUGUAAUCUUAGUGGCGAACGGGUGAGUAACGCGUGAACAACCUGACUCAAAGAGGGGGAUAACAACGGGAAACUGUUGCUAAUACCGCAUAAGACCACAGAAUCGCAUGGUUUAGGGGUCAAAGAUUUAUCGCUUUGAGAGGGGUUCGCGUCCCAUUAGGUAGUUGGAGGGGUAACGGCCCACCAAGCCGACGAUGGGUAGCCGAGCUGAGAGGCUGAUCGGCCACACUGGAACUGAGACACGGUCCAGACUCCUACGGGAGGCAGCAGUAGGGAAUAUUGGGCAAUGGGCGCAAGCCUGAACCCCAGCAACGCCGCGUGAGGGAAGAAGGUUUUCGGAUUGUAAACCUCUGUCCUAUGUGACGAAGGAAGUGACGGUAGCAUAGGAGGAAGCCCCGGCUAACUACGUGCCAGCAGCUGC
rnacentral:rRNA from 1 species